rnacentral:rRNA from 1 species
UUUUUAUGAGAGUUUGAUCCUGGCUCAGGACGAACGCUGGCGGCGUGCCUAAUACAUGCAAGUCGAACGCUUCUUUUCCCACCGGAGCUUGCUCCAC